AACGAACGCUGGCGGCAUGCCUAACACAUGCAAGUCGAACGGUGCCUUCGGGCACAGUGGCGCACGGGUGAGUAACACGUGGGAACCUGCCUUUCGGUUCGGAACAACGUCUGGAAACGGACGCUAACGCCGGAUACGCCCAUCCAGCGAUGGAUGGGGAAAGUUUACGCCGAGAGAGGGGCCCGCGCCGGAUUAGGUAGUUGGUGGGGUAACGGCCUACCAAGCCGACGAUCCGUAGCUGGUCUGAGAGGAUGAUCAGCCACACUGGGACUGAGACACGGCCCAGACUCCUACGGGAGGCAGCAGUGGGGAAUAUUGGACAAUGGGCGCAAGCCUGAUCCAGCAAUGCCGCGUGAGUGAUGAAGGCCUUAGGGUUGUAAAGCUCUUUCGCACGCGACGAUGAUGACGGUAGCGUGAGAAGAAGCCCCGGCUAACUUCGUGCCAGCAGCCGCGGUAAGUCACACUACA
rnacentral:rRNA from 1 species